rnacentral:rRNA from 1 species
AGUGAACGCUGGCGGUAGGCCUAACACAUGCAAGUCGAACGGCAGCACAGUAAGAGCUUGCUCUUACGGGUGGCGAGUGGCGGACGGGUGAGAAAUACAUCGGAAUCUACUUUUUCGUGGGGGCUAACGUAGGGAAACUUACGCUAAUACCGCAUACGACCUACGGGUGAAAGCAGGGGAUCUUCGGACCUUGCGCGAUUGAAUGAGCCGAUGUCGGAUUAGCUAGUUGGCGGGGUAAAGGCCCACCAAGGCGACGAUCCGUAGCUGGUCUGAGAGGAUGAUCAGCCACACUGGAACUGAGACACGGUCCAGACUCCUACGGGAGGCAGCAGUGGGGAAUAUUGGACAAUGGGCGCAAGCCGGAUCCAGCCAUACCGCGUGGGUGAAGAAGGACUUCGGGUUGUAAAGCCCUUUUGUUGGGAAAGAAAAGCAGCAGGUUAAUACCCCGCUGUUCUGACGGUACCCAAAGAAUAAGCACCGGCUAACUUCGUG